CAGUAUUUUGUAUUUUUAUCAGAAAUUUCAAGCAUCUACAUUGCCAUUGGUUGAUUAUCAAAACUCUGCAGACAAGAGAAUUCAAAACUGAUGAUUUAAAAGUUUACAAUUUCACUCUGGACAUUUGACAAAUUAUUUGCACCAUUAGCAAAAGGAAAAUGAAGUUACCUUUUAUUUGAUAUGAAAGAGGUAUUGAAUUUAUGCAGAAUGAAAUCUCUUCUCUAUAAUAGAUGAAAAAGAAAAAAAACUAGGGCAAGACUAUUAAAAUUUGUGAAUCUGUAUACAAUUUUAUUAAAUGGUAUCGAAUAGAUAGCUAAACAAACUUUUAUUAUGGAUUAUAGUUCCAUUAGAAUUUAAUUUGGAUUAAUGAUCAAGAUAAACGUAUAAAAGAGUGUAUAAACCCAUAUUCAAUUAUAAUUUGUUAAGGAUCAAUUAUUUAACUACAUUUAUGUUGAUUAACAUAAAUGCAUGAAGCAUAUUGCAACUUGCCAAUAGAAAAAUCAGUUUUGAUAAUAACAACUGAAAUUCAACAAAUUCUGAACAACAGUUGCAAUUUCUUAAAUUAGGUGAAUUCUGGCCUGCAUUAAGCAAACUUGAAGCAUACUUAACUCAGGUGGUUGGAUCACGGAUGUAUGUUUAAGCUGCACAUAGACAUCAAAUGCCUACUUUGCACCAGGUGCAUGUGAUGGAGUAGAUCAAUUUAUCCAACUCAGAGUUGCCUACUUUUGUUUCCAUUAAACAGGCAGCAAUUUUGAACCAGUAGUUGGACUACAACAAAAUCAAAUUGCCAUGCAGCCUUUACCUAGGAAAAUGA